GUCGAGCGGAUGAGAGGAGCUUGCUCCUGGAUUCAGCGGCGGACGGUUGAGUAAUGCCUAGGAAUCUGCCUGGUAGUGGGGGACAACGUUUCGAAAGGAACGCUAAUACCGCAUACGUCCUACGGGAGAAAGCAGGGGACCUUCGGGCCUUGCGCUAUCAGAUGAGCCUAGGUCGGAUUAGCUAGUUGGUGAGGUAAUGGCUCACCAAGGCGACGAUCCGUAACUGGUCUGAGAGGAUGAUCAGUCACACUGGAACUGAGACACGGUCCAGACUCCUACGGGAGGCAGCAGUGGGGAAUAUUGGACAAUGGGCGAAAGCCUGAUCCAGCCAUGCCGCGUGUGUGAAGAAGGUCUUCGGAUUGUAAAGCACUUUAAGUUGGGAGGAAGGGUUGUAGAUUAAUACUCUGCAAUUUUGACGUUACCGACAGAAUAAGCACCGGCUAACUCUGUGCCAGCAGCCGCGGUAAUACAGAGGGUGCAAGCGUUAAUCGGAAUUACUGGGCGUAAAGCGCGCGUAGGUGGUUUGUUAAGUUGGAUGUGAAAUCCCCGGGCUCAACCUGGGAACUGCAUCCAAAACUGGCAAGCUAGAGUAUGGUAGAGGGUGGUGGAAUUUCCUGUGUAGCGGUGAAAUGCGUAGAUAUAGGAAGGAACACCAGUGGCGAAGGCGACCACCUGGACUGAUACUGACC
rnacentral:rRNA from 1 species